AUAUGGUUGGGAUUGUUUGUCUUAUUUUUGGUUGAAUUUGGAUUGAAGGCUUACCGAGCAUGAUAGCAAUAGGGACUUCAACAUGCAAUGGUUUCAUGACAAAAGGAAAUUUGCCCGAAAGGUUGAAGACUUUGGAGUGAAUCUUGUUUUAUCCUCUUAUGAUGAUAAAGAAGCCUUGAGAAGCAUGUACAAGCAAGAGUUCAUUUUCUGUGUGCAAGUGAAGGAGAGGUUGCGUAGUUCAGAUGAUUACCAGGCAUUCUUGAAGUGUCUUCAUAUUUACAGCACAGAGAUAAUCACA